CACUUUAAGCGAUGGAUCACUCGGCUCACACGUCGAUGAAGAACGUAGCAAAAUACGUGAAUUAAUGUAAAAUGCACAACGCUCUGAUCAUUGACACUUUGAACGCAAAUGGCGGCUUUUGGUU
rnacentral:rRNA from 1 species